UUGAAUGAACUUGGUGUGGUUGUUGCUGGUUCUCUAGGGAGCAAUGUGCACACCUUGUCAUCUUUAUAUCUCCACCUGUGCACCUUUUGUAGACCUUUCAGGUCUAUGUUGCUUCAUUUACCCCAAUGUAUGUUAAUAGAAUGUUGUGCCUAAUAUAAUAUAUA
rnacentral:misc_RNA from 1 species